rnacentral:lncRNA from 1 species
AAUCAAGCCUGGGCAAUGGCGGGCGCCCCUCCCCCAGCCUCGCUGCCGCCUUGCAGUUUGAUCUCAGACUGCUGUGCUAGCAAUCAGCGAGACUCCCUGGGCAUAGGACCCUACGAGCCAGGUGCGGGAUAUAAUCUCGUGUUGCACCGUUUUUUAAGCCUGUCGGAAAAGCGCAGUAUUCUGGUGGGAGUGACCCGAUUUUCCAGGUGCCGUCCAUCACUCCUUUCUUUGACUCAGAAAGGGAACUCCCUGACCCCUUGCGCUUCCCAAGUGAGGCAAUGCCUCGCCCUGCUUCGGCUCGCGCACGGUGCACGCACCCACUGACCUGCGCCCACUGUCUGGCACUCCCUAGUGAGAUGAACCCGGUACCUCAGAUGGAAAUGCAGAAAUCACCCGUCUUCUGCGUCGCUCACGCUGGGAGCUGUAGACCGGAGCUGUUCCUAUUCGGCCAUCUUGGCUCCUCCCUCUGAAGAGUCCAACAGAAAAUUUUAAGUACCUGUUUAAAGCAAUUUACAAGAUACUGUGGAGAUUCCCAGCAAUAAAGAAUGUACUAUAGUUAAGCUGGAAUCCAACUCCUGAAUUUCUGGAGCCCUGAAGACCACUUAGUCUUACUCACAAGAAUUGAAUGGAAUGUGAAUCUACACUCAGGUGAAGCCAGGGUAUUUUGAACGUCCCUACAAGACUGAAGCACCACUGGGAAAUAAGUAAUAGAGAUGCCAUCAUUGUGGAGGUCAUAAUGCUUGUCCUGAACACGAGGGGUCUCUAGUGAGGCACCAAUUCAGCUCCUCUUCUGUGGAGAGACUACAUGGGUGCUGAAGAAACAAAGACACAACGCAGCUCCUCUCAAAGGAGUUCAGAGCUUAGCAGGGGAGACAGAACCAUGAAUGCAUAGUUACGCAUCAAUGUGCUGCACGAGCACUGAAGCCCAAGCACAAGCGGCCUGAGUCCCAAAAACAUUUGCUGACUGCUGUUCUAUCUAGGAUAUCAUCAGUGUGUAGAUGAUCAGAGUUCAUGUCAGUGUUCCUACAAGCCAAUGAAGCCCACUAGUCUGGAACAAGUCAGUCUCAAACAUAACAACAGACACUGGGGAGCUCUCCAACAAAAGAUCACCUCCCAAAGAACAGGAUGGUGUCGAAGACUGAAUGCCAGCCUGAGGAAACAGAAAUACUACAGAAGCACGCCAGAGCCUGCAGUGUCUCCUCGCUGCCUCUCAAUGAACUGCUAAAAGACCAAGAACUCUGCUGAGAGAUAAGAAGAGGGGAGGGUGUGCUGCAGGUGGUGCUGGGAGGCCCAGACCUUCUCCUGACAUCUGGGGCUGGCUACAGGAAACAGAAACAUCACCCAGGCCUUGGCGCGAGACAGGACAGAGGCAGAUUGUGACUCAGAUCUGCAGGUGGAAAGUGGGCCUUUCGUUUUCUCCUAGGGGUAGAGCAAAGCCAGAGGGCUCAGUCAGAGGAAACCUAAGGCAGUUCAUGAUCCCUUCAACUUUAUACCAUUUCCUCAAAACUGCCUCCAAACAGUGGGCAACUGGAAAGGUGGUCUGACCUCCAGUGAUCACACAGUAUGCAUUAUAACAGAAGGCUGUCACUGUCAAUUGCAUGGCUCCCUCACUAUGCAUUCCUUCUAUCAAUUUACGACAACACACUGUAGUGAGUACCUGCACAUUGCUGGGUAUUUUGGCAGACAUUGAUAGUAGAUGAAUAACACCUGGUACUUGACCUUGAGACGCUCACUGCCUAGUGUGGGGAACCAAUGGUUGCAAUAUAAAGUAUUAACUAGAGGGAUAGAGGACUGCCUGAGGAUCUCUGCACUCAGAGGAAGGGCCAUGAGAUCAGCCAGGACAGUAGGGAGGCAGUGACUCAUGAAAUUAGCAAGUGGUGAGAAGAGGGCAGUAGAUUCAGCGGCUGCUAAAAAAGGUUACUGAACUUUUUGUUUCAUCAAUGCCAAGAAAUUAAUCUGUUUUAGCCUCUUUCAUGGCCUCUGUUUGAAAUUUUUUAACUUUUUUUUUUUUUUUAGAUUUAGGGGUACAAGGACAGUUGUAUUGCAUGAGUAUAUCAUAUAGUGGUGAAGCCUGGGCUUUAAGUGCACCUAUCACCCGAAUAGCGUACAUUGUACCCACUAGGUAGUAUUUCAUUUCUCACCCUUCUUCCACCUUUUGGAAUCUCCAGUGUUUGUUGUUCUACUCUGUAUGCCCAUGUGUACUCAUUGUUUCACUCCCACUUAUAAGUGAGAACAUGUGCUUUUGACUUUCUGUUUCUGAGUUGUUUCACUUAGGAUAAUGCAUGUUCCUGUUUUGAUUCAGUCAAAAUCCUGGGGUCAGCACUGACAAUGUGAUUAACCCCUGUCCUAAAUUCACUGCAGAGGAACUGCUCCCAUAUGACUACUUAUUACCACCCAAGCCAGAAACCACAAAGAUAUUCUGACCUCUCCUCCUUCACUCCCCACCAACUGGUGAGUAAGCUAGUCACCAAGUCUUGAUUCUACUUGCAAACAUCUUUGGAAGGGAUCUCUCACUCCACACAGUCUCUGUCAUUGCCAAGUAUACCCAUUACCUCUGCUCUGUCCUACGGCUCAUCAUUCCUCAUCUACAUGCUGCACCAACCUCCUAACUCCCAUUCCUCCCCCUCCUAGUUCACUGCCAUAGCGUAAUCUUUCUAUAUCACGGAUCAUAUUGUGUCCGAAAUUGGUGGGUUCUUGGCCUCACUUACUUCAAGAAUGAAGCUGCAGACCCUCGUGGUGAGCGUUACAGUUCUUAAAGGUGAUGUGUCUGGAGUUUGUUCCUUCUGAUCAUGUUCGGAGUUUCUUCCUUCUGGUGGGUUCGUGGUCUCGUUGGCUUCAAGAGUGAAGCUGCAAACCUUCAAGGUGAGUGUUACAGCUCUUAAGGCAGCGCAUCUGGAGUUGUUUCUUCCUCC